CAGCCGCCGCGGUAAUACGUAGGGUGCGAGCGUUAAUCGGAUUUACUGGGCGUAAAGCGUGCGCAGGCGGCCCGUUAAGACAGGUGUGAAAUCCCUGGGCUCAACCUAGGAAUUGCGCUUGUGACUGGCGGGCUCGAGUACGGUAGAGGGGGGUGGAAUUCCUGGUGUAGCAGUGAAAUGCGUAGAGAUCAGGAGGAACACCGAUGGCGAAGGCAGCCCCCAGGGCCUGUACUGACGCUCAUGCACGAAAGCGUGGGGAGCAAACAGGAUUAGAUACCCUGGUAGUCCACGCCCUAAACGAUGGGUACUAGCCGUUUGGUGCGCGAUAGCGCUGAGUGGCGAAGCUAACGCGUGAAGUACCCCGCCUGGGGAGUACGGCCGCAAGGUUGAAACUUAAAGGAAUUGGCGGG
rnacentral:rRNA from 1 species